GUUCACGGAGCCUGCGGGCGCUGGUCCGGGCGGCCAGGGGUGGGGGGCGCGGGCGGCUGGGCCCGGACUUCGACUGGGGGCCUGGCCCCGGGGCCACCCAGGCGGAGGCUCUGCGGCCGCCUCCACCCCGGCCACAUCCCGAGGCCGGCGCCGGGUUCGGAGAACUGUCAAGGGACCUCCAGGCCCCCACACGCCUGCGAUAUCCGGCGCUUGCCUUUCCCCAGCCACAGUUUCUGUUUCCGAGAAACCGGCCAUGGAUGCUCCCCACUCCAAAGCAGCCCUGGACAGCAUUAACGAGCUGCCCGAGAACAUCCUGCUGGAGCUGUUCACGCACGUGCCCGCCCGCCAGCUGCUGCUGAACUGCCGCCUGGUCUGCAGCCUCUGGCGGGACCUCAUCGACCUCAUGACCCUCUGGAAACGCAAGUGCCUGCGAGAGGGCUUCAUCACCGAGGACUGGGACCAGCCCGUGGCCAACUGGAAAAUCUUCUACUUCCUACGGAGCCUGCAUAGGAACCUCCUGCGCAACCCGUGUGCUGAAGAGGAUAUGUUUGCAUGGCAAAUCGAUUUCAAUGGUGGGGACCGCUGGAAGGUGGAGAGCCUCCCUGGAGCCCACGGGACAGAUUUUCCUGACCCCAAAGUCAAGAAGUAUUUUGUCACAUCCUACGAAAUGUGCCUCAAGUCCCAGCUGGUGGACCUUGUAGCCGAGGGCUACUGGGAGGAGCUACUAGACACAUUCCGGCCGGACAUCGUGGUUAAGGACUGGUGAGUAGGGUCCAUGGCCUGUGUCCCCACACUCUACAUGC
rnacentral:sRNA from 1 species